AUGAGGAGGUACAGUCCCCAAUACCGGAGUCCCCCAAGGAGGGGAUAUGGUGGCAGAGGUAGAAGUCCCCCAAGGAGGGGAUAUGGAGGACGGAGGGAGCAGGGUUCAGGAAGCCUCUUGGUCCGCAACAUCCCAUUGAGCUGCAGGCCGGAGGAUCUACGGGUUCCUUUUGAAAGGUUUGGUCCUGUUCGGGAUGUGUACCUGCCAAAGGAUUAUUACACCAGGGAGCCCCGAGGGUUUGCAUUUGUGGAGUUUGUUGACCCUUAUGAUGCCUCUGAUGCACAAUAUCACUUGAACCACACAGUAUUUUUUGGCCGAGAGAUAACUGUUGUUGUUGCUGCCGAGUCACGGAAAAGGCCAGAUGAUAUGCGUAAUAGGGCUAGAAUCAGGGGGUAUUCUGGUGAACCUGAAAGGCGUCAUUCCCGUUAUGGGAGGUCUCGUUCCCGUUCAUGUUCCUACUCUCCUCGCUAUCGGGGCCGUCCUCGGUCAAGGUCAAGGUCAAGGUCAUACUCUCCUGCUCCAAGACGGCGAGAUGACUACUCUGCUUCCCCGCCAAGAUCACAUCACACACAGUCUCCUAGGCGUCUGCCAAAAGGACAUGAAGAAGACGAGCGGAGAUCCUAUUCUCCUGCUGGUAGAGGUGGCGGCGAGCGUGAUGCCAAUACUAAUGGAAAGAGGUCACCACCAUCUGACAUUGAUGGAUCACCUCCACGCAUCCGGAGGUCACCCAGGCAAUCCUCAGGAUCACCCGUGGGGUCGCGCUCAAGGUCCCCUGAAGCUUCUCCUGCCCGCAGCGACUGA
rnacentral:rRNA from 1 species